rnacentral:rRNA from 1 species
GAUGAACGCUAGCUACAGGCUUAACACAUGCAAGUCGAGGGGAAACGACAUCGAAAGCUUGCUUUUGGUGGGCGUCGACCGGCGCACGGGUGAGUAACGCGUAUCCAACCUGCCCACCACUUGGGGAUAACCUUGCGAAAGUAAGACUAAUACCCAAUGAUAUCCCACGAAGGCAUCCGAAUGGGAUUAAAGAUUUAUCGGUGAUGGAUGGGGAUGCGUCUGAUUAGCUUGUUGGUGAGGUAACGGCUCACCAAGGCGACGAUCAGUAGGGGUUCUGAGAGGAAGGUCCCCCACAUUGGAACUGAGACACGGUCCAAACUCCUACGGGAGGCAGCAGUGAGGAAUAUUGGUCAAUGGGGCGAGAGCCUGAACCAGCCAAGUAGCGUGCAGGACGACGGCCCUAUGGGUUGUAAACUGCUUUUAUAUGGGGAUAAAGUGAGUUACGUGUAGCUUAUUGCAGGUACCAUAUGAAUAAGGACCGGCUAAUUCCGUGCCAGCAGCCG